AAAAAAAAAAAGCCAAAGCAAUGGUUCAUUAAAAAAAAGUCAACUUAUUACAAAAUUAAAAUUUAUAAGAAUGAACUAUAAUAUCAACCCAAUUUACACCAUACUUAAAGCCAGAACCAAGAACUUAAUGGACUAUGACUAUCCUUACUCCCAAAAUAUAUUUUAAAAAAAUGACAACAAUGCCACAUUUGCUUAGGUUCAGUCUCUCAAAUAGUAAAUACAUGCCAAAAACAUUUGGGUUUGAUGACCACAUCGUACCAGUUGCCAAGUGUCUCAUCCACAAACACAAACAUGCAAUAAUCAUCAUCAUCAUUAUAGUUGUGCAGAACACACUGCAACUACAGACACAGAUCCGGAAGAGUGAAAAAUCAUAUAACAAAUGGCUAUAAAUAAGAUUAAAAUGUCAUAUUUAUCUAGUCUUUUUUAUUCAAAUUCCAAUAUGCAAAUAAACUGAACAAUUACAAAGGAAUCAAAAUUCCAUUUCACAUUCAACCAACAGAUAGGAGAAUUGAUCAUUCCAUUUCCCAAAAUGCUAAUUCAGAUUCUGGUUUCAUUACUGAUUCUGGAACCAAACUUAAUUAUGACCACGUUUAACUCUAUAGUAACAUCCAAUGCUCAAACCCUACACAGACAUAUUUUUAAAGAACCAAAACAGCUAGAUAGUAGCAAAAUGUUAGCAAUAAUCAAUAAGAAAUGAAAAUGCAAUACC
rnacentral:misc_RNA from 1 species